rnacentral:rRNA from 1 species
UACGAAGGGAGCUAGCGUUGUUCGGAAUCACUGGGCGUAAAGCGCACGUAGGCGGAUUUGUCAGUCAGGGGUGAAAUCCCGGGGCUCAACCUCGGAACUGCCCUCCAAACUGCUUCGCUUGAGACCGGGAGAGGUGAGUGGAAUUCCCAGUGUAGCGGUGAAAUUCGUAGAUAUUCGGAAGAACACCAGUGGCGAAGGCGACUCACUGGACAUGUAUUGACGCUGAGGUGCGAAAGCGUGGGGAGCAAACAGG